rnacentral:rRNA from 1 species
CCUACGGGGGGCAGCAGUGGGGAAUAUUGCACAAUGGGGGAAACCCUGAUGCAGCGACGCCGCGGGAGUGAAGAAGUAAUUCGUUAUGUAAAGCUCUAUCAGCAGGGAAGAAAAUGACGGUACCUGAGUAAGAAGCCCCGGCUAACUACGGGCCAGCAGCCGCGGUAAUACGUAGGGGGCAAGCGUUAUCCGGAUUUACUGGGUGGAAAGGGAGCGUAGACGGCAGUGCAAGUCUGGAGUGAAAGGCGGGGGCUCAACCCCCGGACUGCUCUGGAAACUGUACGGCUGGAGUGCAGGAGAGGUAAGUGGAAUGCCUAGUGUAGCGGUGAAAUGCGUAGAUAUUAGGAGGAACACCAGUGGCGAAGGCGGCUUACUGGACUGUAACUGACGUUGAGGCUCGAAAGCGUGGGGAGCAAACAGGAUUAGAUACCCUAGUAGUC